ACGGGGUGCAGCAGGCGCGAAACCUCCGCAAUACACGAAAGUGUGACGGGGUUACCCAAAGUGUUCUAUUUAGAACUGUGGUAGGUGAGUAAUGUCCCCUACUAGAAAGGAGAGGGCAAGGCUGGUGCCAGCCGCCGCGGUAAAACCAGCUCUUCAAGUGGUCGGGAUAAUUAUUGGGCUUAAAGUGUCCGUAGCCGGUUUAGUAAGUUCCUGGUAAAAUCGGGUAGCUUAACUAUCUAUAUGCUAGGAAUACUACUAUACUAGAGGGCGGGAGAGGUCUGAGGUACUACAGGGGUAGGGGUGAAAUCUUAUAAUCCUUGUAGGACCACCAGUGGCGAAGGCGUCAGACUGGAACGCGCCUGACGGUGAGGGACGAAAGCCAGGGGAGCGAACCGGAUUAGAUACCCGGGUAGUCCUGGCCGUAAACGAUGCAUACUAGGUGAUGGCACGGCCAUGAGCUGUGUCAGUGCCGUAGGGAAACCGUUAAGUGUGCCGCCUGGGAAGUACGGUCGCAAGGCUAAAACUUAAAGGAAUUGGCGGGGGAGCACCACAAGGGGUGAAGCCUGCGGUUCAAUUGGACUCAACGCCGGGAAACUUACCAGGGGAGACAGCAGAAUGAUGGUCAGGUUGACGACCUUACCUGACAAGCUGAGAGGAGGUGCAUGGCCGUCGCCAGUUCGUGCUGUGAGGUAUCCUGUUAAGUCAGGCAACGAACGAGAUCCGCGCCUUUAUUUGCCAGCAAGAAGUCACGACUUCGUUGGGA
rnacentral:rRNA from 1 species